ensembl:lncRNA
GGGGCGGGGUGGGGGGGAGAGCUGGGGGGCGUUAGGGGGCAGCGGGGUUGGGGGGAGAGCUGGGGGGCGUUAGGGGGCAGCGGGGGAGGGGGGGAGAGCUGGCGGGGGGCGUCAGGGGGCGGGGGAGAGCCGGGGGCGGGGGAGCUGGGGGUGGGGGGGAGAGCCAGGGGGAGGCGUCAGGGGGCGCGGGGGCGGGGGAGAGCGGAGGGGCGAAGCCGGCUCGCAGGCCCGAGCCGGACUCCAGACUCCGAAGGGCGCGCGUUGCUGGGGCAGCCUUGGCUUUGGUCCCAGAAAAGCUGGCUACCCAAGGAGCGAGGAGGCAGGAGGAUAGGACUGCUGCCCCCAAGGUCAAGCCUCCGGUCUUUAUUCCACAAGCGCUUCACUCGGGAGUCGCGGAGCCCCGCGGCGGUUCCUCUGGACUUCGGACCUGGCCUGCUGGGUUGGAAUCUCUUCUCCACCCCUUCCUAGUUCUGGGCCAGGCCUCCUGCGGUGUCCAGGUUCUCUCUUGAACACGGAGCGGGUGGGGAGGGCAUCCAUGUGACCUGAAGACUAACUCUUUAAAACACACUUGGGACUUCCCUGGCGGUCCAGUGGUUAAGACUUUACCCUCCAACAAAGACGGUGUGGGUUUGAUCCCUGUUGGGGGAGCUAGGAUCCCACAGGCCUCAAGGCCAAACAAACCAAACUUAAAACAAAAGUAAUAUUGUAACACACUCAAUAAAGACUUUAAAAUAGUCCA